AUGUUGGCCAGGAUGGUCUCAAACUCCGGACCUCAGUUGAUCCAGCCACCUCAGCCUCCCAAAGUGCUGGGAUUACAGAUUCAGGACAUUCUGAAGGUGCUGGUGUCCAACCUUCACCAUUCCAGUGGGGUAGUGCUCCCGCAUUGGGCAAGUGGAAGCAUCUUUUAUCAUCUUGGAAAUGGUGAGUCAUACCUUAAAAUUUAAAAGUAAUUUGAGAAUAAUGUACAAUAUAGGAUGUGGGAUUUGGGGCUUUUGUUUUGUUUUGUUUUUGAGACAGAGUCUCACUCUGUCACCCAGACUGGAGUGCAGUGGUGUGGUGCAAUCCUGGCUCAAUGCAACCUCUGCCUCCCGGGUUCAAGCGAUUCUCUUGCGU
rnacentral:lncRNA from 1 species